rnacentral:rRNA from 1 species
GACGUAGGGUGCGAGCGUUGUCCGGAUUUAUUGGGCGUAAAGAGCUCGUAGGCGGCUCGUCGCGUCGACCGUGAAAACCCGCAGCUUAACUGCGGGCUUGCGGUUGAUACGGGCGGGCUAGAGUUCGGUAGGGGAGACUGGAAUUCCUGGUGUAGCGGUGAAAUGCGCAGAUAUCAGGAGGAACACCAAUGGCGAAAGCAGGUAACUGGACCAUUACUGACACUCAGCUGCGAAAGCUAGGGGAGCAAACAGG